UGAUGGACGACUCUGAAAUAAAGGAGCUUAUUAUUCUAACUGGGAAAUAUGCCACAAUUUAAAGCUGGGACAGAAUGAUAUAAUAUAUAGCUUCAGAACAAUGUUAAGAAAGGAGUUAUUAACCAACUGCGGGGCCUUCCAGAAAUGGUAGAACUUCAUACAUUGAAUUGCUGAUAUACAAAGUGCUAUUAACAAAAGAAGGAAAAUUUGAGGAAGUUGGAUUUGCCUCUCCAUCCUUUUAUUAUUGUGUAGAAGCCAGUGGUUUAAGAGUGGAGAAAAUAUUUGUAUGUAAUAAUAACGUUUUAUAUCUUGUUUUAUUAAUAAAUAAUGAUUUUACCUUAACACAA